ACUGACAAAUCCUCAACCCACAUCCCUACACCUACUGAGGACAUGACAAGGAGCUACACAUGCUUAUAAAGCUCUACACACCAGCAAGCAAGACUCAUCCACACUCAACAACACACUUCAAAUUUAGACAGAGAGGGAAAAGCUGUCUGGUUCUGCAGUGGAAGUGAAAAUAAUGAUUCUAUUAAAGGAAAACAAGAAAGGCAACAUCUGUGUGGCAAGGACAUCAACCAAGGCCGUAGUCAUAAAAUGAAUACCAGGAGGGCGGGUUUUCUGCUGUUCUAAACCACUAAUGGGAACACUGACGGAUACUAAAGUUACGCAAAGCCAGUAGUGUGGGCGCAGAGUGUCAGCGAUGAAAGAAUGGGAGUCAAACAUCAACAGUGGGACUGGGAACCUGGGUUUGAUCAUUGCCUCUGGUCACUGUCUGGUCACAAGUCUUGCAUGCUUCCUCUGUGUCCAUGUGGACUUUCACCCAAUUCUUGAGUUCCCUUUGACCUCCUAAAGCAUGCAGAUUUUUUGCUUAGAAAGUAAGUGAGUGACUCUCUCAGUAUCUGUUGCCAUGUGAUUAAUGUUACUCCAGUAUUGGAGGUGAUGUGACUGACCAGGGUGAAGAGGUAAGUAAAAAUAAAAACAUUUAAACAUUUAAAAGGAAACUGUGUGUUUUUACUAUUUGUUUUUUAAAUAAAGUUUGCAACAAU